GAUGAACGCUAGCUACAGGCUUAACACAUGCAAGUCGAGGGGAAACGAUAGAGAAAGCUUGCUUUUUCUAGGCGUCGACCGGCGCACGGGUGAGUAACGCGUAUCCAACCUGCCCAUCACUUGGGGAUAACCUUGCGAAAGUAAGACUAAUACCCAAUGCCGUCCAUAGAAGACAUCUGAAAGGGAUUAAAGAUUUAUCGGUGAUGGAUGGGGAUGCGUCUGAUUAGCUUGUUGGCGGGGUAACGGCCCACCAAGGCGACGAUCAGUAGGGGUUCUGAGAGGAAGGUCCCCCACAUUGGAACUGAGACACGGUCCAAACUCCUACGGGAGGCAGCAGUGAGGAAUAUUGGUGAAUGGGCGAGAGCCUGAACCAGCCAAGUAGCGUGCAGGAUGACGGCCCUAUGGGUUGUAAACUGCUUUUAUAAGGGAAUAAAGUGAGCCUCGUGAGGCUUUUUGCAUGAACCUUAUGAAUAAGGACCGGCUAAUUCCGUGCCAGCCGCCGCAGUAA
rnacentral:rRNA from 1 species